rnacentral:lncRNA from 1 species
UACCCGGGCCCUUUAUGAUUGCCAGUAUGCAUAGCGGGUCUCCAGAACUGAUAGAAUUCAGCAUUCUCAAGGCUUUCUCAACCUAUGGUCCUCUGUGGUUAUCACUACACAUAUAUUGUUUAGAAAACAAUGACUUCGAUCAUUGAGUAUAUUUCUUGAGGACAUAUAUGUCCUAAGACAACGUAUAAUGCCCCAACUCUGAGUUCCAAGACAUUGGGAAUAAUUGCGGUUAGCUACUUGGAGUUAUAGUAACUAGUGGGCAAGUUAAGCCAGUAUACUUUGUUGUGUCUAAAGUCUGAUCCUUCCUUUCCAUUAUAAGGCUUUUGAUUGUUACCAUCAUGUCCUCUACAGCCUUACUCCUCAAUGUGUGAUCCCUGAACAAGAAGGAUGGUGACCAUCGGGAACCUGCCUGAAAUGCAGCAUCUCUGGCCUGGCUCAGACCUCCUGAAUCAGAAUCUGCAUUUGGAUGAGACUACAGAUGGGGAUGAAGAUGGUAUCCAAAGAAGAUCUUCUAACAAUCCCCCAGGAGUGCUGAGGGUACCCACUGAACCCAAUUGUGUCCACGGAUCUCUUGGAGCAGCUGGGGAUUGUGGUAAGUUCCCUUUCAGUUUCUGAAGUUCCACGGAAUUGUGUUUUGAGCUCUCUGAAUUCCUUUGAGCACAUUUCUGAUCCAGACUAGGUUUGGAAGUCACGACUAAAACUGGACUGCGUCCAGGAUUGGAUUUGAUCUGGUAAUUAACUGGCUUGGAUCCAAUUAGAGGCAUCUUACAUCUGGGUCAGAAAGAAACCAGUAGUAAAUGGCAGUAUUGCAAAGGGUAUAAAAUUCGGCUGUUGGAAAUUCACAGGAAUGUUUGUGUUCUACCCCUUUGUUUCAUUUCUCUUGUGCACUUAGGUAUAUAAAAAAAAAUCAUUGGUGAAGUUAAGAAACCCAGAGAGGAAAAACAGAAUUUUGGAUUAAAAUGGAAUCCUUAACUUCCAUGUUGACUAUAUGCCACAAUAUAAGUUUGAACUCUUGAAAUGCAUAGCUAAUGUAGGUAGUCUUCCAUUGUGGCGAAUGCACAGGAUCCAAUUCCUGAUGGAGCCAUCAGUCCUAGACAUUGUGUGGCCUGUCCCAUUACUAGGGCAAGUGGAGGUUGCUUUGGCAGACUCCGGGUUUCUAAUAUUGCACUGUUAAGAGCUGGGCACAUAGGUUCUCUCUGAAUUGGGUCAAGCUGAUUUCCAACUGGGCUGUUCCAGGGAUCUGAAUAUGCCUUCAACAUUUUUUUAUUUGCAGUGUUCUUGCCACGAUCUCUCCUUAGCUGUUCACUCAUUGCUUGCAGCUCUCAUCCAAAGUGGUCACUCUUUCUACGGUGGCCUGACUUCCUCCACACAACUGACGUCUCAUCCGACGAAUCAACUUCCAUUUCGGUGUCACAAUCUUCCAUUUCGUGAUCAUGUUUAGAGCUACCAUUUAGGAAACCAUUGGAUGAAGUUUCUCCAACUCCAUUGGAGUCGUGAUCUGUUUCCAUGUCUACAUCAUUACUGGUGAAGUUAUUAACUUGCUGUGAUUUUGACGCAUUUAUACUGUUCAGUUCUGGUACAUUCAAAUUGGAUGACUGGUGUUUAUUACUAUGGCAAUAUGAUUGAUGUGCUUUAUUUGAUAUUACACCAUUACUACAACUUUCAAAACCAGAAAAAUGUGCAGUACUUCCUUUGCCUGAUGCUAAAUUGUGGAUAUUCAUUCCAUGGCUGGGGCUCAUACUUGGACUACUAAAAGGUCAAGGACUAACAGGAUAACUGUCUUGAGACUUUGGACUUCGGCCUCCCAAACAUUGUACUUCACUAUGUGUACCAUUCACCAUUUCUAUAAAUGGACGUACUUUUAAUGUGAAAAGGAGAUUAGGAUUUCUUUCAAGUAAACUUGGGUAUAACUGUUAAAAAAAAUUUCUGAAGAACAGAGUUCCUUCUGCCCAUAAGGGUUAGGCAGCAGAAGCAACAAAAUCUUACAUCUUACUAAAGAUAAUUUAUAGUGGGGCAUUCCAAAUGAACAACACUGCACUGAAGUGCAUUUGAAAAUGAACCCUUCCAAAUUAGCCUCAUCUAGGGAUGCCUAUUGAUAUGCAGAAGCUUCUCAAAAGAUUUCAGUAUUUUUAUUCGAAGACUUUACAAAAGGCAAAUAAAAAGCUUAAGUGAUUAAUUGAUUUAAAACAUUAAAUCUGCCUUGCAGUCAUUGCUGACAGCUGUAGGUGACAGGAUUAGGCAUGUACAGAACCAUGGAACAUGGAGAACUUUUUUUCCCCAAAGGGAAAACUUGAGAGCUGAUGGGACUGCUGGAAAAGAUCCCUUCGUGACUGACAAGCGGCUGCCUGAACUUUAGAUACAGUAUUGCUGCAAUGGGUGUCUUUCUCUAGCCUCCCUGAGCGCUUCACCUUCCCCACCCUGCCGCAGGCAAUGCUUUUCUCUCUGUUUCUCUCUGUGCAAACCGGUUGCAGGAAUGGUAAGAAUCACUAUAUCUAGCAAAGUUUUACUUAAUGAGACAAGGGAUUCAUGAGGCGAGUCUUAAGCUGUAGCAAAUCUAGUGUACUUUAUGCUAUGAAUUUGUCUUUUUGUGUGUUCUGUCAUGAAGACAAGUACUGUAGGAUAGAAUACGGGGUUGGGACCCCAUUAGCUCACUGUUUGAGAUAUCCCAGCAAGCUGGUCAGGAAGAAACCUUGCUGCAGGUCCCUGAAACAGUAACAACACCUGAACGAGGUCUCCAUCUUGACUUGUUUUAUGUCCUUGGGAGCUUGACCUUGUAACCAAGUGGCGGUACUUUCUCUUGGCCUCCACCAUCCAAGGAAUGGGAAUUUUGGGGCUCAUGUCAUAGCCAUAAAAAUUAUCUUGAGCAGUUGCCUUUGCAAGCUCAAAAUUAGCUGCUCUAAACUUUUACUAGGAAGAGCAGUGGAAUUUGCCCAAUGCUGCAGCUUCUCACAACGGCAGCCCCGGUUCAAUCCUGGCUUAGAGAAUGAGUACUCUCUGGUUGAUGUCUCUGUGACUUUUACCAUUUGUUAACUCUUGGCCCCUCCAUAAACAACUUCUAGCUUCUCUUCUUGAAUCUUCCUUUCUCUGAGCUACCUUUGGAGAUUCUAGAGCUUGUAAAAACUGCUUACCACCUCUUCGAAAAUACCGUGUACGCUUGUGGUUAAGUCAUAACAUUAGUUAAGGCUUGUUGGUUUCACCUGUAAGGUUACUUCUGGUAAAGGUUAAAAACCACACAUAUUGGCCGUCUGGCCUCGCUAAAGUGGAGUGACUUGGCUUUCUCUCUUGAACAAGAUUUUUAUGUCUAUUAAAGGAUAAUGAAAAAGUUUUGUUUGCCUUUUGAAAGAAAUACAGAAAUAUGAAGGGAAAGACAAGAGACGGGUUGUUUGGAAAGCUCAGUCUUCCUUCUAUCAAUGAGUAAAUGUUUUUGCCUUUUUAAACGUUUUGAGUCAUCAUUUUGACUAAAUGAAUGACUUACGGUGACUUGGAAUUCCUUUCAUAGUAUCAAGUGUUUUAAACCUUUAACAUAUUGGAUAAGCUUCCCAAAUCAAAUUUCAGCUUCGAAAUUGUCUUUUCUGACUUUUAACUUUGGGAUGUUAGAGAGGACCCCAAAACCUCCAAAAGAGAGGUCAACAGGAUUAUUUGAUAUGUGAAGUUAGGG